GACGAACGCUGGCGGCGUGCUUAACACAUGCAAGUGGAGCGACGAACCAGGGCUUGCCCUGGGGGCAGAGCCGCGAACGGGUGAGUAACACGUGGGUAACGUGCCCCGAUGACUGGGACAACCCGGGGAAACCCGGGCUAAUACCGGAUACGCCCCCUCACGCGAGUGAGGUGUGCAAAGGAAGCUUCGGCCUCCGCAUCGGGAGCGGCCCGCGGCGCAUUAGCUUGUUGGUGGGGUAACGGCCUACCAAGGCAGCGAUGCGUAGCUGGUCUGAGAGGACGAUCAGCCACACUGGGACUGAGACACGGCCCAGACUCCUACGGGAGGGCAGCAGUGGGGGAAUCUUGCGCAAUGCGCGAAAGCGUGACGCAGCAACGCCGC
rnacentral:rRNA from 1 species